rnacentral:lncRNA from 13 species
GCCUGCCAUUCCUGGAAUGGAAUUUGAGCAAGAAAAAGGAAACAGCAACUUAACUUUUAAAAUUCUAGUAUAAGCAGGAAAAGGAAGAAUAAGUUCAUAGGCUGACAGAAACAGAAAAGAGACGAAAUGAUCCUAUUUGAAAAGAGAGAAGAAAAAGGGCAACAAUCAGCAAAGUGCAAUGCAGUUGACUUCCAGACCACCAUUUGAGGAUAUAGCAAGAAGGUAGCCAUCUGCAAGCCAGAAGAGAGCCCUCACCAGAGAAGCACAUUGGCCAGCACCUUGAUCUUAAUCUUUUAUUCUCCAGAAUUGUGAGAAAUAAAUGUCUAUUGUUUGAG